AGGAAGGCCGGGAGGUGGGCAGCUUUCUCAGACAAGUGGGCAGUUUGGAUGGCGAGGAGGUCUUGGAGGCACCAUGGGUGGCUGGGCUCAAAGAUGACAUGAGGGCAUGCUUAACAGAUGCUUAACCAAAUCCUGAAUUGGCAUUGGCCAAUUUCUGUGGUGUAACUACUCCCAAGCUACACAGACGUGACUUUACUGGCU
rnacentral:lncRNA from 10 species